UUGCUCGACGGGGCGCGGUGUGGCCGUGCAAUCUGUUUAUCCGUCGGCGGAAGUAACUGGCAAAACGCUUUUGUAGGCGCGACGGCGUCUGUCGGAAGCGCUUGGGUUCCUCGGCGAUCAAUGUGAAUCUCCUCCUCUCUCUCUCUCUCUCAAUGAGACCAGGAAGAGAGGGAAUACGGCGCGUGCCAAGGUUACUCCAGAGUCCGAACCGUCAGCAGCUUGUCGGUGGUGCCAAAUUUUCGGCACUGCCUCGAGGAACCACUCCGAUGAUGAAGCUACAUUGCAACACUCAUAGAUGCUUCGCCUGCCGUAUGGACAUCUAUUGUUCUUCAGCAAGAGCCACGCAGGAGCGACUACAAGCGCAUUCGUCCCAUAUCACAUGAAUGAACAUCGAGCUCAGACAUAACCGCAGGGAAAAUGAACACCUGAUGGAGAGCUUCUGAGUGUAGUUCCGACGUUGGCACCGAGGUGACGCCAUCAUCCAAUGCGCGCAACAGAGACGGAGGCGACCGACCAACCGUAUCAGCCAUUGUACGAUGCCCCGACCAAGUAUAUCAGGCGCUGGAAUAAUCCGCUUUGCUGCAUGGCACGUCUGCAUAUUGCCCAAGUCUUAGCGCGUCCGCCUCCGAGUGUCCCCAAUCAGUCUCGUAUUCUACGAUCUCCACACAAAGUUACCAACACGCUCAUUACCUGCAGCAUCGAAGCCUAAAACAAAGACAAAAACGAUGUCUUCCUGGAGUCACGUCCCGGAGCAGUGUGAAAGUGUAGUUUUCAAAUGUUUGCUUAUUGUGCAGUUUACGUGGGAAUCCACAAUGUGAUUUCGUGCGAAUUCUGUAACGUGAAAGUGUGUGACAGGAAGACAUUGUGAAUCGGAAUGUGCGUAACCAGCUGCAGCGCUUAAAGGACAGAUUGUGUGUGAUACGAACAAGAUCCAUGGAAGCAAGGAUGUGUAGCUGGUAGUAGUCCUACUGCCGUGCUGUGAUGUUUCAAGGAUGACGUUGUUCAGGAGUGAUUAAAAAAAUGAAAUUUUCGUAAUGUGAAAAGUGCAGUGAGACGUGACGUGGGUGGUCUUCGAGGCUCUCUCAAAUUGGAUAACAUGUAUUAAAUGGCAGCAGAAUAAGCGGAAAUUAAAAUGAAGUUGGUGCAAGAAUGGUUGAGAUACAACGAGCUUCGUAUAACGAACUCAUCCCUAUGGCAAACUCUUCUUUUUAACGAACUGUGUGUGUGGGGGGGGGGGAUAUGUUUAUUAAAGAUAAAGAAAGAGGGAAAGGUCAGACAGGCCAAGGCCGACUUGCUAUUCCCAAAAGAGAAAAAAAUAAAAUAAAAGAAAUAA